rnacentral:rRNA from 1 species
UGACUAGUGAAUACAUAGCUAGCAAGAGGUAGACGCAGUGAACUGAAACAUCUUAGUAGCUGCAGGAAGAGAAAGAAAUAUCGAUUCCCUGAGUAGCGGCGAGCGAAAAGGGAAGAGCCCAAACCAACAAGCUUGCUUGUUGGGGUUGUAGGACUGAACAUUAGAGUUACCAAAGUGCGACGUAGUCGCAACAGUUGGGAAGCUGUGCCAUAGAGGGUGAAAGCCCCGUAGACGAAACGUCACACUCUCUGUUCAG